CCAUCACUCUUCAUCAAAAAGGAAGCAUCUCUCUAAAGCCAAUGGAGACCACGACUGGACACAAUGCAGAGAUCAAUGGAUUAUGGCACACCCAACCCCAGUGAAUAUGCCUGCAACACAGCUCAAGCACCUGUGGCUCAGGGAACAUCACGGAAGAGGCCUGGGAAGACUGUAAGAGCCAGUGGACCAGGAAGUCUAAAGUACGCUGUGCAACAUAAUAAGCCAGAAGGGGGGAAAGCUCACAGGUCCCCACCCCUAGACAAGGAACAACAGGCAGCUAAUGACUGCUAAGAGAACGAGAAUUAGCCUCUCCCAGGGCGAGCUCCCUGACUGGUCAUCCUGAAACCAUAUACACACGACGGAAGCAGGCACAGCAGGAUAACCUAGGAGAGGAGGACUUGCUUGAUUGCUUUGAGACGAGAAGCCCUGUGCUGUAUGUGAUGCCAUUCCCUUGGCUGAGAUGUUGGACCACGUAAAGCGGAGAAUGAGAGCCACGCAGGAUGCCUGCAUCCAUUGCCCUCUCCUGUUGACUAUCGACGUCGUGUGACCAGCUGCUUCAAGCUCCUACUUCCUCCAGUUUCCACCAUGAUGGACUGUAUCUCGACCUGUGAGCCAAAAUAAACAUGGUUUCCCUUAA